rnacentral:rRNA from 1 species
UACAGAGGUCUCAAGCGUUGUUCGGAAUUACUGGGCGUAAAGCGUGCGUAGGCGGUUCGUUAAGUCUGUUGUGAAAGCCCCGGGCUCAACCUGGGAAUGCAAUGGAUACUGGUGAGCUAGAGUGUGUCAGAGGACGGUGGAAUUCCCGGUGUAGCGGUGAAAUGCGUAGAGAUCGGGAGGAACAUCAGGUGGCGAAGGCGG